UACGUAGGGCGCAAGCGUUGUCCGGAAUUAUUGGGCGUAAAGAGCUCGUAGGCGGUCAGUCGCGUCUGCUGUGAAAACCCGAGGCUCAACCUCGGGCCUGCAGUGGGUACGGGCUGACUAGAGUGCGGUAGGGGAGACUGGAAUUCCUGGUGUAGCGGUGGAAUGCGCAGAUAUCAGGAGGAACACCGGUGGCGAAGGCGGAUCUCUGGGCCGAUACUGACGCUGAGGAGCGAAAGCGUGGGGAGCGAACAGG
rnacentral:rRNA from 1 species